GACGAACGCUGGCGGCGUGCUUAACACAUGCAAGUCGAACGGAAAGGCCCUGCUUUUGUGGGGUGCUCGAGUGGCGAACGGGUGAGUAACACGUGAGUAACCUGCCCUUGACUUUGGGAUAACUUCAGGAAACUGGGGCUAAUACCGGAUAGGAGCUCCUGCUGCAUGGUGGGGGUUGGAAAGUUUCGGCGGUUGGGGAUGGACUCGCGGCUUAUCAGCUUGUUGGUGGGGUAGUGGCUUACCAAGGCUUUGACGGGUAGCCGGCCUGAGAGGGUGACCGGCCACAUGGGGACGGGGAUACGGCCCAGACUCCUACGGGGGGCAGAGGUGGGAAAUAUGGCACAAGGGGCGGAGGCCGGAGGCAGAAAGGCGGGGUGGGGAAUGACGGCCUCGGGUUGUAAACCGCUUUCGCCUGUGACGAAGCGUGAGUGACGGUAAUGGGUAAAGAAGCACCGGCUAACUACGUG
rnacentral:rRNA from 1 species